rnacentral:rRNA from 1 species
UACGUAGGGUGCGAGCGUUGUCCGGAAUUAUUGGGCGUAAAGGGCUCGUAGGCGGUUUGUCGCGUCGGGAGUGAAAACUCAGGGCUCAACCCUGAGCCUGCUUCCGAUACGGGCAGACUAGAGGUAUGCAGGGGAGAACGGAAUUCCUGGUGUAGCGGUGAAAUGCGCAGAUAUCAGGAGGAACACCGGUGGCGAAGGCGGUUCUCUGGGCAUUACCUGACGCUGAGGAGCGAAAGCGUGGGGAGCGAACAGG